GGAUGCGAUCAUACCAGCACUAAAGCACCGGAUCCCAUCAAAACUCCGAAGUUAAGCGUGCUUGGGCGAGAGUAGUACUAGGAUGGGUGACCUCCUGGGAAGUCCUCGUGUUGCAUUCU
rnacentral:rRNA from 1 species